AGAUGAAGAAACUCGAGGCUAGAGGCUGGUUGAUUUGCCCCAGGCAACAGCUUGUGUGGCAUCUAGCUCUUGUUCUACAUUUGCCCAGAAGGCCUCAUCUAGUGCUCAAAUCUAAGGAGAAGAGAGGAAAUUUUAAGGACACAUUUGAAUUAAGUGUUAACAAGUCUUAACAUGUAUAUUAAGUGCUUGGCACAUAGUAGGUCCUAAAUAAAUAUUUGUUGGAUAUUGAACGAAUUUUUAGUCUUGAUUCUGCUACAGCUUUGGAGAGGAUGCUGAAAAAAAAGGAUCUUUUGGAAAACCUCAACCUAGCAUCUGCAAAAGCAUCUGCAGCAUCUGUAAAGCUGGUCCAGUGAAGAUGGCUGCUGUAGUCUCUGGAAAGAAAGGCCCUGGACUGGAGACAGUGCUUCCUGGAAUUCAUCCACAGAGGUGUCCACAGGUCUGCCUUGGCUACAGGCUGACUUGCUUCACAGCUAAGGAUAGUUUCUUUCUUUCACCUUGGUUGAGGUUGGCACAGCAACCGACAGCUCUCAAUCAAGCAACCGUCUUGUGAUCCAUCAGCUAGGAGGUAAGACAGCAUAGUGAUAAUGAGUUCAAGAAUUGGCAUCAUUCAGACCCGCAUCCAAAUCCUCACUUACCAGUUACUAGCUGUGUGUUCUGGAGCACAGAGCUCUGAGCCUCAAUUUCUUCAUCUGUUAAAUGAGAAUAUCGAACUCAGUGUGGAGAUGUUAGAGGAUUAAUUGAGAAUGUAUAUCAAGGGCUAUCGCAAAGCCUGACACGUAAGUGCUCAAUGACUAGACAUUGUUUUUAAUGAAGAAAUAUUCCUAAAGGUAGCCUCAACUUUUCAUUCAUCAUGUGUCAAAAGGGUCCCUGUAUUUUCAGAAGAAUCCCGUCCACAAAUCACCAUCAACAAGAGUCAAGAUAUUGUCUGCUUCGGGAGUAUGCUUAGCAUCCUGCAUCCACCAUUUAUCAGGGGCUGAGUGCUUGCCCUAGCUCAGAGGAAGACCACACUCUCAGCAGUUCUCCAUCAGCAGCGUCACAAGGGAGUCAGCACCUUGUAGACCACUAUUUUAUGGAAUCCAAAGUGAGGCCACAUUCAAGAAAGAGCACCCUUCUUUAGAGUGUACUUCCUUCAGUAGGAGUGAAUUAGACACCCCAUUAGGUCCCAAUAUUCCAUUAGGAAUAUUUCUGCUCCUGGAAAGACUCCCUCACCUCUCCUUCCUCUCAACAUUCACAGCAUCACUAUCUGCCUUGGGACUAACAGCAAAAACCUUAUCACGCCCUUUAUCCCUGUUCAUCACAAGAAGUUCAGGACUUCAUCGCUCAUCUCCCCCUUCUUUAAUUCCAUCACCUUCUCUGGCCCAUCUCCUAUGCCUCACCAUCUCUUGAAACUUUCGCUUUGUCUCUGGAAACAUAAAGUCAAUCACUAUCAAAAUGCCCUUUACUCAGAUCUUCUUCUGUGGAUGUUCUCUUCACUUGCUCUGAUCUGCUCUUCUCUUCACAACUCCUCCGCAGUCCUCCACGUGGGGGUGUUUUCUGUCUUUUACAUCCAUCCUAACAAGGAGUCUGGAGGUCAGGAAGGUGUCCUACUUUGUUUUCACAUCCCUUUCCAUACCUACCUCUUUGUCCUGCAUAAAAACACUCUGCUUUGAACCUCAUGUAAUCAGACUCUAUCUCCCGUGAGCCCUCUUUGUGCAGUCAUGUGCUGCCUCCUAUCCCCUGUCUGCUCUCUCUCGUUUCUUGAUUAUUUUAGCUUCUCUUUAACUCUUCAGUGCUACUCCUGUUAUAAUUCCUUGUGAUUUAAUACACAUUGAUGAUCUUUCCAAUACCCUGGCUUCCCAGACUGAUCCUAUUAAAAUAUAAGUCAGAUUGUGUCACUCCUUGUUCAGAAUCCUCCAAUGACUUCCCACUUAGUUCAAGGAGCCUGAUCACACAGGGCCUUGCAAAUCACAGCGAAGGCUCUGAUUUUUGUUGUUAUUGUUCCUUCCAACUGGCCACACUAACCUCCUUGCUAUUCUUUGUGCACGCCAUGAACACUCCCUGCCUUAGGGCUUUUGCACUUGCUGUUCCCUUUGCCUGGAGAGAAAUCUGUAUGGUUAAAUCCCUCAAUUUAUUCAGAUCUUGAAUAAAAAGCCAUCUUAUUGAGCUUUUCUCUGACCAUCCUUUCUAAAAUGUCAACACCCCAUUGAGAUUUCAUAUCUGAGUCAGUCC
ensembl:lncRNA